GCAUAGUAGAAGCAGAAAAUGAACUCGGGGCGGGGGGAAACUUUAAGGAAAAGAAAACUCUUUCUCAGAGACUGUUUCAAAGGUUUCCUGGAUGCAGCCUCCAUUUACUUGUUUUUUCCCUUUUUCUCCCAGGAAGAAAAAGGUCUCACUGUGAGCAGAAUGUAUCCCGACUUGAACAAACGCAGGCCUGAAUGGAGUCCCAGUCUGGACAUAGUCCAUGUAGGCCAAAGCCCUGGGGUCUUACUGCUACCUGGGCACCACAAAGCACGUACAUCAAGCGGAGAAGGGCAAAAUCUACAAUCUGUGAUCGACAGGACCAUCUAUGCCUGUUACAGUCACCUCACUGCACAAUGUCAUCUAAUGCUGAUAUCCCUUCGAGCCAAACUGGUCAGCAAGUGAAGGCAAUGAAAACCCAAACUUUCAGCGGUGGCUUUGGAUCUCUGCAGCACUCCAGUGCACUAAGACGCUGAGUCCAAGCUAAUCCGGAACAUGAUUCAUACCACCAUUAGAUCAACUGUUGAAAUCCUCCCACCAAGUCAGAAGGGAACUGGCCACUUCAUG